AUUGAACGCUGGCGGCAGGCCUAACACAUGCAAGUCGAGCGGUAACACAGAGGAGCUUGCUCCUUGGGUGACGAGCGGCGGACGGGUGGGUAAUGCCUGGGGAUCUGCCCGAUAGAGGGGGAUAACUACGGGAAACUGUAGCUAAUACCGCAUAAUGUCUACGGACCAAAGUGGGGGCUCUUCGGACCUCAUGCUAUCGGAUGAACCCAGGUGGGAUUAGCUAGUUGGUGAGGUAAUGGCUCACCAAGGCGACGAUCUCUAACUGGUUUGAGAGAAUGACCAGUCACACUGGAACUGAGACACGGUCCAGACUCCUACGGGAGCAGCAGUGGGGAAUAUUGCACAA
rnacentral:rRNA from 1 species